rnacentral:other from 1 species
GGCGGGCUGCCCGGUGCGUGUGGAGACUUUUCCCAGGGGCCUAUGCGAUUCUGAUUGGGAGCUGUCCCUGUGCCUGACCGUGGUCUCGCACACACGGCGCCCACCUACGUAUGUAGGGACCCGGGAUCGUACUCUCCUCACGGCCCAUGGUGGCUCGCCA